GGAAGCUGGAAGUUGAUGGAGAGUAAGAACUAGGAGAACUCACAAAAGCGAGCGGAAGCACACGGAGAAACUUUGUUUAUUUUUGAGGGUAGUUACCCUCAAAAGAGCUACGUACAUUGAAAAAACUGAAUAUAAUUCCCAAGCAAAAAAACCGAGAAAAUCCAAAGAGAACAGAUUUGCAAGGCGACCCGAGAAGAGAAU
rnacentral:misc_RNA from 1 species